AGAGUGAUUAGGGAAAUGGCUGGGGACGAUUCUCAUGAUCUGAUGAAGCUACUUGCUUCUUCUGAUCGUGACUUUCUUAUUCGCAACAACGGUGACCAGGUAUCUAUACUUCAAUAAAUUCUUUGUGUGUUGUGUGUGCGUGUGUGUUUUAUUUAUAAAAAUCAAUAUUCAUUAACUUAUAAAGCUGGAUUUUGGGUUUGUUCACUGUGUGUGUUUAAGUUUUCUUUUGAUUCUAUGAUAAAUAUAUAUAUGUUUCUACUAAUGUUUUGGCAUAGUGAAUGAAUUGGGUUUGAAUUGGAGUAUCUCUUUGUUGUUGUUCUUUGGUUUAACAAUCCGGUAUGCAGAACCCAUUGGCUCAACUGAUCCCCUUCCCGACCCGCAUAGGCCCAUUAAAUGAGAAAGAGCUUGCUACCCUGAGUUCAUGCUUGUUUGGCCAAGCUUUUUUUUUGGCCAAAAGUGUUUUUUUUUUUGUCAAAAUCACUUUUGGUCCGUGUUUGGCCAAGCCUUUGGAAGAAAAAAAUGUGCUUUUGAGGAGAAUUUUUGGAAGGAAAAAUAUACUUAGAUAUCGUUUUUUAAAGUUUGACCAAAUAUUAAUUUCUGCUCACAUAAACUGCUUCUCGCCAAGAAAAGCACUUUUGGAUAAAAACACUUCUCAAAAUAAGCUUGAAUUUUGCAGCUUGGCCAAACGGGCUGCAAGUCUUAGAAUAUGGUUUUUCCAUGCUACUCUCUCUAAACCAUGUAUAACAAUUUGCAACCAUGCUCAUGGACUCCCAUGGUGCAAUAAUUAUUGGAUGCACAUCUACAGAUGAAAUUAGGGUUCAAAACACACUCCUGAGAGACUUGUUUUUGACAUGGUGUAAGAUAAAUAUGCGAAAAUCAGUAAAAAUUCAAAAAGUAUAAUUCUGAACAAGUGUAGUGGGUUUAGGUAAGAGAUUAAAGUUAAACCCAUUAAAGGUGAAUUUUAGAUCCACCUCUUUACGAUAGUGCACCUAUCCUCUUGAAAUCGUGGAUCCGCCGGAGUUUCUCCAUUCCCAAGGACCUUUGGUUAAGCAUAGAGGGAUCACAUGUAUGCACCACGUUCCUUGGUGGUAGUUUCUUGCUUUCUAUACACAAUAUGUGAACAAUUGGAAAUUCCAGAUAGCCUAUUCCUUUAUAUCCUAGUAAGAAAUUUUCUUCUGAGAUUGAUCUAGGCCUUGGACAAUUUUUUGAUAAUGUCCUGGAAAAAGUUUUCAAAAUUUGAUAGAUUACUUUCAAAUGGAAAUUCUUUACAACUCAACAGUUUUUGGAUUGAUUUGUUAUUUAGAAAGAGAGAUUUAUGAUUUAUAGCCCUUUACUUUGCAAAGGUAUCCACAUUAUUUACUCCACCUAUGCUUUAGGAAUGUUAAAAGAAAUAUCCAUAAGUCAACCUCAAUAAGAGUUUGAGAAGUUUGUAACAUGAAAGAUGAAAUAAUUUUAAACAAAAAUUUAAGUAUUUUGCAGGUUUAAAAAAUAAGAUGAAAGUGCUUAUAAAGAAAAUUAUGAACAUAAUAAUAGGAGGGAUUAAAUAUGUAAUAAUUAAAAGAAAAUAUAACAUACAUAAUAGGAUCAAUGUAUAUAUUUUAGAGUUAGCGGGAUAUUUUGAAAGUAAGUUUGGGUUGAUCUUGGUUACUUCUAUUUUUGAUGGUUUGAGUUGGAAUGGAAAAACAUCCAUUUCUUGUUUUUUCUUUUUAUUCUGUUUUGUUUUUCUGAAAACAAUUUGUUCUGUUAACCAAAUAAUUAUGUUGUUCGUUUCAAGGCAACUGUUGCAGGAAAGUUGUUUGGGUCGGCGGUCGGGUUUAGUGGGAAUAGCUUUUCCUAACAUUUCAAUUGUAAUAAUAUGUUUGUAAGUAUAAGGUAUAUCUUUGAAUAAGAAAGUGAGGUGUGACAGGAGUCAUCUUUCAAAAGUGUUUUUUCUGCCUAUUUCUUGCUAAUGUUUGAGUAUCUUUUGUGGUGGACUUUAGAACUACUAUCUGAUUUUGCCAUUUCUGGUUUCUGUAGAAAACUAGAAGUGCAACAUUUUUAAUGUAGUUCAAUAGUAUAUGCUAUGCAUCUUUUUUUCACAUGCCUGACUUUUUAGUUUUCUUGGUCAUGUGUAUUAGAAAAGGUCUAAGGUGAAUGUUGGAAAUUAGUAGUUUGAUUAAAAGAUUAAAUAAUUUACGGCGUGUUACUCACAUAUAUGAAUCUCAGGUUAAGCUUGGUGCUUUAAAGGAGAAAAAAGUUGGUUUGUAUUUUUCAGCAUCAUGGUGUGGUCCAUGCCAACAUUUCACCCCGAAUUUGGUAGAGGCGUACAAUGAGCUCCUAUCAAAAGGAGACUUUGAAGUUGUUUUCCUUACUGCUGACGAGGAUGAUGAAUCAUUUAAGGAGUACUUCUCUAAAAUGCCGUGGCUCGCUGUCCCAUUCUCUGAUUCUGAAACACGUAAACGUCUGGAUGAAUUGUUUGCUGUAAAGGGAAUACCCCACUUAGUGAUCCUUGAUGACAGUGGAAAGGUAGUGACAGAUAACGGGGUUGAGAUCAUCCUUGAGCAUGGGGUGGAAGGUUACCCUUUUACUCAAGAACGGCUGAAUGAACUUAAAGAGCAAGAAGAAGCAGCUAAAAGAGAACAAUCUUUGAAAUCUAUCUUGGAGUCACAAUCAAGAAACUAUGUAGUUGCAGCUGAUGGGAGAAAGAUUGAUUCAAGAUGCUGUUCUUUUUCCUGCAUGUUUUUUUCUUGUUCUUUAAUUAAAAUUUCCCUAACCUGCUAUGUCUUGAUUACCAUUAGGUUCCUGUUGCUGAGCUUGAAGGAAAGAUUGUAGGCCUGUAUUUCUCAAUGACCUCUUUCGAAGAAUGUGAAUCAUUUACUCGGAUGCUGAUCAAAAGAAAAAGUUUGCAAGCAUGCCUUGGUAUUCACUUCCCCUAAAAGACAGGACCUGCGAUAAGCUCGCCCGGUACUUUGAUCUCUCUACC
rnacentral:lncRNA from 1 species